rnacentral:rRNA from 1 species
GACGGAGGAUGCAAGCGUUAUCCGGAAUGAUUGGGCGUAAAGCGUCCGCAGGUGGCAGUUCAAGUCUGCUGUCAAAGACCGGGGCUUAACUUCGGAAAGGCAGUGGAAACUGAACAGCUAGAGUAUGGUAGGGGCAGAGGAAAUUCCUGGUGUAGCGGUGAAAUGCGUAGAGAUCAGGAAGAACAUCGGUGGCGAAGGCGCUCUGCUGGACCAUAACUGACACUCAGGGACGAAAGCUAGGGGAGCGAAUGGG